CUCAUUAGCUGAAUGUUACGCAACAAGCAGGCAGUCAGAAAUCCUGCGCGUUAGCUGUGGCAACAUCAGGAGACAACAGAAAGGGCCAGACUCCAAGGGUUGUUCACAGAUUUGCGCGGCUGACCAUUACCGGCAACAAAGCGAAGGGAUUGCGAAACCUGCCGUUGGGCUCCCUGCUUGAACUGGUGUCUGGUUUUGUCACACACACACACACACCCCGGCUCGUUCAUCGCCUACGAUAAUAACUUGUGGCAGUGAGCUCUCCUGGGAUACUAUUCACCGUGAAAGGGAACGAGAUCCCUAGUCCAUUGGCGUGGCUUCGCAGGGAGCCAUUGUGCCCCGUCAAGAGAAAAGCUGAGUGUGGGGAGCUGAAGAGGCCUUUCAUUGCUCUGUGGGGGAUGUGGAUGGGGAAGCGGUGGGGUUUCUGGCACCCAGCCCCCACUCUGCCUCCCUGCACAACCAUUUCAACCAUUCAACAUCUUCGGUUGACGGAGGGAAUAAAGUUUCUUUUCACAGGCCCCGACCUGUCACCUCGUGGGCUUGUGUGCUGGUGACCCGGGCCUCACCUCUUUGAAGAUACACUUUAGCACCACACAGACUGGUGUGGGCCUCGUGGGGGGUAUCAGAGAGCCAACCCUUGUUGGAACCCUCCCCAAGGGGGCGGUGCAGCUGCUGUACCCAGUCAUUUCGUGUGCUCGGGCUCAGGCUGUGUUUGGAAAGGGUUUGGGGGAAUCCAUGAACAACGUCAAUGCAUUGAACAACCCCUGCACCUGAAGGUCUUCAGCUGAGAACUCCAGAGCAACGGUUCCAAAAGAACAGCCCAGGAACCCCGGGUAGUCCCACACUGCUUCAGGGGUUCCACAAGACUGAAAGUCAGAAGACAAAGGGACUUUGAUAGAUCAUACAUGGAAGUUUCGAUAGAAGUUUCAGAUUGCAGUUUGUGACUCCUCAAGGAAGAGAACUGUCCCUUCAACGAAGUUGUCACUUCUAAGGAGUGUGUGUGUGUGUGUGUGUGUGUGUGUGUGUGUGUGUGUGUGUACGUACGUACAUACAUACAUAUAAAAUCUGUGAGUAUCUAAAAAGGCUAAUAAACAUUCUUCUAUUUUCCAAAGUA